AUUUACUGAAAGAUAAAAGCCUGUACAGUAUCCAGUAUGGAGGAAAUGUGGAUAGGGUUAGGGGUGAAAAGAAUUAGCUCAGUAAAUGAAAAUGCCACAUUCCAAUAGAGGAACAUGCUGGUAGCCAUUGUUUAAGUUUUUAUCUUGAGUUGAGCUGAGGACAUGCCGUCUUAGACGGAAAUGAGUGUUAACAUGUUGCCGAAUAGUCUUGGGGAGGGAGCUGUGACUCAGUGGCUUCCUGUGCCCCGGCGGGCCUCCCAUUAGAGUUAGACGAUACUGAUCACAGCACCCUUCUCAGUGGUACACUGGUGCCCACUUAGUGGAAGAUUGGUUAGUAAAACAAUCAAAGGAAAGUCGUUGUCGCCGAAUUUUUUUAUUGUAGAUCAAAAUGAUCAGUCAGAGGGUCCCAGGCCUGCCGCCUGAGUCAGGAAGACAUUUCUGUGGACAGGAGAGCAGAGAGAUGAGUGAAACCACAGAUGGAAAGCAAGGAGAGUGCCAUUUUACCACAGACCCCUUGGAGCAAGGGGAUGUGCUUUCUGAUCACGUCUGGUAAUACUUUACUCAACAACCAAAGAACAUCCAGCCGACUUGACAACUGUGGAAAGCAUUGGAGUCGACAUGGGCCAGCAUCUCUGUGGAACGCUUUCGACACCUUGUACAGUGGGGUGGGGGGACUAAAUUGUAAGUGUUGGGUGUUCUUAAUGUUUGGUACACUCAGUGUAUACUGUGUAACAAUAGGGUCACACAAACUAAAAAUGAUGGGUCUUACUGUGCUUUCUUUUAGAACAAAUCAUGACUAUCAGAUUAUGAACUGUAAAAUAAAGCAAACCUAAUGUGCUGUUUAUAUUUUCAACCAUACAUAUGCCAUACCUCUCUCUUCAGCCACUCAUUCUCUUUGAUCUCCUGUCGGCUGUGCUUGUCAAGGUGUUUGAUGGCCCUCUGAGGAAAAAGUGUGUUAUCAUCGAAAAUAAAUCAAUCUGUUCUGCU